rnacentral:lncRNA from 1 species
CGAAUGUAAACACAAAACAUGUGCCAUGAUGUGGUACUUCUACAGAGAUUGAUCGUCAGUAUUUUCAAGCAUAUUUUUGACACGUUUUAAAAUAUAUACGUAAAGGUAUGUUUCCCUAAUAAUCAGCAGAGGGAUAAAGAACUACCCCAUAUAUAUGAAACAUUUUAAAGAACAACUGUAUGGUGUGUGAAAAUAAUAAAUGUAACAUGUUACAGGUAUACUGCCGUCAAAGAAAACGGUAGUACGAUUCCACGAAUGGUAAAAUAUUCUUUUUUAACUCAAUAGUUCUCUAACGAUGUAUAAGCAAAUCAAAAUUCGUUACAACGAAUUUAAAAACCAAUUUUUAAAGCAUAUUUUGAUUUAAAAUUGAUACAUGCAAAUCACAAAGAGAAAGUACUAUUGGGACAAAGAGGAAUAACUCUAUUUAAAAACUAACUUUUUAAAUUUUAUUUAGAUACAGAUUAAAUAAUCAUGCAUUACACUCAAAUUCUUCAGCUGUCAGUGGUGAUUAUUUAAAAAAAUUGAGAAGGAAAUGGGGAAUGUGUAAAAGAGACAACAAUCCAACCAGCAGGGAUGGGGUCGAUUACUUUAAAAUGUAAUCGAUUAAAUUACAAUUACUUUGCUAAUAAAAUGUAAUAGACAACUUUCGAGUUCGAUGCAUUUCCGUCAAAAACUCUGGUUUUAGUGAACGUCAUUUGUGCGUUUAGGGGCGUCGUCACUUCCGUUCCAAUGUUGAGCGAGUGGUUGGAAAACUAUAAUUCUAUAUUGUACGAAUUAUUCGGCAAAUUGAAUUCUCAAAAUUGACAAUCAGCAUUGCUGUCAUUAGGGAAUUGUCAUUACCUACAGAACAACCAUUAUUUCUAGUUUAUCCUGCACAAUGACGAUCACUAAGACGCUUGAUGAACGUAAAUAGUGCAGGGAUACAGGCGACCCCCUCUAUCUGGUAAAUGACGUCAUAAAGGCGCGUAUAAUUGACGAGUUUUUUCCGGUGACGGAUGAACUCGAAAGUGGUCUAUUGAUUACAUUACAAUUACACCCUAUUUCAUAUGUAAUCGAUUACAUUAGAUUACUUUUCUUUAAAGUAAUCAUGAUUACUUUAGAUUACUUAUGAUUACAUUAUAUAUUGCAAUAUCAAAAGUUUUUCUAUAACUUUUAUCCUCACAAAAAAGCUAAUUUUGGUGAUUUUUUUUAAAAACCUUAAUUUUUUCAUCUGAUGUAAAAGAAUUUUUAGACAAGUACAGUGUAACAUGUGUAAUUUGAUAAAAUAGCUAUAGACAUGUGUCCUUUCUCUAUGUAAAAGAUAUAACUUUAUUUUUUUCUAUAAAUUUUAACCAACUGUCUAAAUUAACAAAAAACCUGAACAAAUAAGGAAAAAUUAAUUAAUUAUAGUUUUAUUGUCUUUUGGGACAUAAGUGACACAUCCAUUAAUGUUUUUACAGGUGUUAAUCACUACUUCCUUUUUUUUUUAACAAACAAUAGGUGAAUAAGCUUGGGUAUUAAAAUUGUAUUGUCUUAAUAACAAUAUCAAUAAACAUGUAAAGCUCAAAGUUGUUUGAAAAUUUUAAAUACUUGAUCUAAUUAAUAAUUGAUAGAUUUAUUGUCAGUUGAAAACACAAAACAGCUUUGUAACUUAGGAAAGUAUAUACAUUUCUCUUUAAAUUAAGAAACAGUUUACUGUAAUAAAAGAUAUUUUGUAUUGAUGAAACUUCUGACAUCACCUAUUGUUUACUAUGUAUAUUGUUUGUAAUAUUAUGCCAUAUGUAUACACUAUACAUGUACUUGCUUAUACUGAUGAGCCGUAAGGUUAAUAAAGAAUAAAAAUUAGAAAGCACAUAUUAUACACAAAUUUUUUAUUCAAUUUGUCAAUAAAUGAAAUCUGUUUUUUUUAAACUUCCAUUUUGAAUUAAGUGGGCUCAUAUAUUUAUGUCGACCAUCAAAGUCAAAUUGGAACUAAUUGUUUUCUGCAUUUGAAUUUCAAUGUAGUUAUGUAAAAAUAUUGGGUAAACUUAUAUGAAAUUGGGAGUUAAUAUCAGAUGUUUUCAAUCAAGGAAAAACAAUGCUUUCAAGGCAUAUUCUUGUAUCAUAAGAUUGAGCUCAAUCUCACAACGAAAUUUAAGAGGCAAUUUCCUUUAGUUAACUGUUCACAAAAUAAAACACUUGGUUAUACAAAUUUGUUAAAAAGAUGAUACAAUUUAUCACAUUAAACAAGGUCCCAUCAUUGUGAAAACUAGUUUCAUGAUUUUUCAUUCAAGCUUUACAUUUUCUUAUUUUCAUCUUGUCUAUCAAAAACUGUUUUUAUAUAUCAUGUAUAUAUACAAGAUUUGUAAUCAGCAAGUAAUCAUAUGAAUGUAAUCUUAAAGUAAUCUAAAAGUAAUCAUGAUUACACCUAUUUUUUGCAAUGUAAUUGAUUACAUUACGAUUACUUGUAAUCAGAAAUGGCAUGAUUACUGAUUACAUAGGAUUACAAUGCAAAAUGUAAUCGAUUACAGCUGAUUACGAUUACUGAUUACGAUUACCCCAUGCCUGCCAACCAGAUCAGACAACAGCAGAAUUCAGGGCGACAUACAACACAAAUUUAUGUUUCACAUAACUGCAUAAAGGAAACAUCUCAAUUACAAUUAUUAUUCAAUAUUGUUAGAUUUAUAAACAUGUAACCAUAAUUUGGUAUUCAGCCUUUGGUUUCUUUUUGUAUCCUUUUUUAUAAGUUCUAAAACUUUAACGUUUAUUCUGUGGGUUGUGUUGAUGUUAGAAUAGUAUUAAUGGAACAAUUGAGUUUUUCGAGAAAAAAUUAACACAUUUUGAUUCACCGUUUACGUGACAGGAAACAAAACAGGAAACCAAUCUUUAUUUUCUUUAUUUUGCACAAUAUAUUUCAAAAGACAUAAAUGAACACCAUUACUUGUGCUACUUGUUUCAUGUUAAUAUUUAAAAUCUAUUUUCAAUGUUAAAUUAAAGUUUUUUUUAAACGCGACAGGAAACCAUAAGAAACCGAAAGCAUUUUUUUAGUUUUAUUUUAUUGCAAAAUCUGCUUAAAAUGAUCUGAACAGUAUACUUUUUCUUAAAAUCCAUAUAUAUGGCAUAUGGAUGGAGAGUGAUUAAUUAAGUAAUCAAGUAAAAACCUUUUCUUUUCGGCAUAUAAUUAUAUUUGACAAACAUAUAAAACAUAAGCUUUAAUGAGCUUUUCACCGAAUAAAAAAACAUAUACAAUAACAAAAAAACAAGGCAUGCAGCAUGCAAAUGAAGUCACUGUAGCAGAACAAAAAAAUCCCCAUUAAAAUUUCUUUAAUUUGUGUUUAUAUUACAUGUAUAAUGAAUGAUUACCAGUCAGGGGACUUACUGAAAUAAGUGAUUUUUAAAUCACUUAUUUGAGUAGCAAAUUUGAAGUUUUGUCACAAAUUGUGAUUUUGUAGUUUUACCAAAAUUUUAAACACAUAGGUUUAAACAAUAUCUUUUCAUUAAUAAAAUUGGAAAAAAAUGAACUUUUUGCUUCUUUUAUGUAGCAAGGUUUAUGCCUUUGAAUUGAUGCUAUCAUUUAUCUGCAAAUUCUAUUUUAGUUGAAAAAAUGCUAUAAUAAUGGCUUUACAUUGUACAUAAUGGAAUGAUACUUUCUUAACAGAUUUUUCCCAGCAGUGGGAGUAUUUUUCCUGUAAAGUUCAAGGUUUCAUCUUUCAAAUUAUGUGAUAAAAUUCUACUGUUCCCGAUAAAAAUUUCACUGUUUGGGUGUGUUGAAAUUAGUGGGAGUUAUUAAAAUAAUGAUACUUAAAUAAGUGAUUUUUGGGAAUGAAAUUGAGGUAUGACACUUAAACUAGUGAUUUUAAUGUCAAUAUCCUAGAUUCAGUACAAGGUCAUCACCUGAAAUGACCUGGUCAUCCUAGACAACACAGAUGUUGGUUCUGAUAAUUUUAGAAACAUAAUUAUAGUCCCUGGAUCAUUAGUAUUCUAUAUUUAAAGCUACAUGUAUACUAAAAUUAAAUCACUUCUUCUAGUGAUUAAUUUGUACUACAUAAAUAGGUGAUUAUUAAAGAAAGACAACUCUUACUUCCAAUCUUUCUGGAAAUAAUGUUACUUAAUUCAGUGAUUUAGAAAUUCACUCAUUUUAAGUAAGUCCCCUGACUGAUUACAAAAUGUAUCAUCCUAAUUCUGGAAGGACUGUAUGUUUUUACAGAUUCAAGAUUCAAGUAACACCAAUGAUUAUUUUUCAGCUGAUAUUCUAUAAUAACGUAUAGGUAGCUGAUUCAAAGAUGAAAAUUGUGAACUCUCACAAUGAAUGGGAUCCUUUAGAAGAAAUCAUAUUGGGAGUACCAGAUUUUUGGUGUACACCUCAAAAAGAACCAGGAUAUUUACCUACUAGCAG